CACGUAGGGCGCAAGCGUUGUCCGGAAUUAUUGGGCGUAAAGAGCUCGUAGGCGGUCUGUUGCGUCCGCUGUGAAAACCCAGGGCUUAACCCUGGGCUGGCAGUGGAUACGGACAGACUAGAGUUCGGUAGGGGAGACUGGAAUUCCUGGUGUAGCGGUGAAAUGCGCAGAUAUCAGGAGGAACACCGGUGGCGAAGGCGGGUCUCUGGGCCGAUACUGACGCUGAGGAGCGAAAGCGUGGGGAGCGAACAGG
rnacentral:rRNA from 1 species